rfam:Heterocephalus glaber contig222829, whole genome shotgun sequence.
GGGGAUUUAGCUCAGUGGUUCUAGCACCUGCCUUGCAAGCACAAGGUCCUGAGUUCGAUCCCCAGAACCA